rnacentral:lncRNA from 1 species
AUUAGGGAGAGAUUUUGAUUCAGAUGAAAACAAUUAUUGAACCAAAUGUGCGCUACUCUGUACAAUAAAUCGAUACCAUGAACCUUCAUUCAAGUUCCACACGAACACCAUACUUUUCAACACACGUGCUUCUGUGCUUUAAUACUCAUAACUGCCAGCAAUAAGUAGGGUGAUAUUUUAAUUUUUAUCUCUGAAUUUAUCUUUUCGGUCCUCAUCUCUCAAUUAAUUGUAUUUAGUUUCAAAAUUAUUCUUUUUUUUGUUUUAGUAGCUCUUAUUCAUGUUCCUUAGGGUUGAUUGUUAAGCAUAUAAAGUCUAACUUUUUUAAAAAAAUUAGUUAUUUAUUUUUUAUAACUUAUAUAUGAUUUUUAAAUAUUUAUAUUUAAAUUAAAAAAAUAAUUUUUUUUUUUACCUUUACCUAAAUGAGAAAAUGUUUGAAUGGAAAAUAAAUAGUAUAUUCGAAGAAUAUUUCUAUUCAAUAUUGUUAUUUCCUAAACUAUAAACGGGUCACAUGUGGCUAAUUGUCAAAGCAAUAGCAAGCUGUUAGCUUAAAGCAAAGCACAUUCAUGCUUCACCCAUGAGAAUACAACCAAUUCUAAUGCAUGUAUUGUGAUGCACGUGCAAGCUAAAAGGAGGCACAUGUGGUUAAUUGUCAAAGCAAUAGCAAGCUGUUAGCUUAAAGCAAAGCACGUGCGUGCUUCAUCAAUAGAAUAUGUGAGUGGAUUAUUAUUAUUACUAUUAUGUAUUUAACAAAAUAUUUAUGUUUGAUAGUAUGAUUUAGUAUAAUGUUAUGAUUAAAUGUAUGUACAUUAUAUGAUUGAUUGAGUCAUGAGAUGUAAUUGACAGGCACCAUAUGUGUACAUUUCUCCAUAGGCUCUACGCAUGCGUAUUGAGAGUUAAAUUACUCGACCCUUGUGAAGUUGUUAAUUCUACUGAGUAUUGAGAGGUUUUUCCCUCUUUUUACUCGUGCAAUGAUGAUCCCAGUGAGUAUUGAGAGUUAUUUUCCUUGUAUAUUAUUUGGUGCAAUUUUGUCAUGUGUGUAUAUACGAGUUCAUGUUUGCUUUUGUAAAGCGUUCAGUGUAAAGUUAUGUCAUACAAUUAUGACGAGCACUAAAACACUAAUUUAUUUUUAUAUAUAAUUAUAUUCAUUCAUUGAGCUGCAAGCUUACUAUUUUCCUAUUUACCCCAUUUCUCUAAGGUUUUCAUAGGAUUUCGUGUAGUUCAAUUUCUGAUCAAUUGAGGUUGGGCCACGACACACAUUACUGUACGACUUACAUUUUGACCACGUUUAUGUUUAUAUGUAUAUUUUUGAAGUGUAUGUAUGUACAGUGAGAUAUGAACUAUGUAAGUUUUUAAUAAAUUUUUGAAUGAGGCACAUAGAUUAUUAUAUGUUAAUAACAAAGGGCAAGGCUAGUGUUAUAUAUUCAUGAAUUAAGUUUAUGUCAUGAGCUUUAGAUAUAAAAUAGUAUGAUUCACCCCAAAUCCAACAGAAUGGUUGAGGCAAUUUGUGUCAUGUAUGAUAUGUACAUAUUUAUAU